rnacentral:lncRNA from 1 species
CUACCUUGUGUUGAGUGAGGAUGAAUUUGAUUUUUAUUUUAAGAGAAUUGGUUAGAAAAUGAUGAAUUAUGGUGUGAAAAAGUAGUAGAAAAAAUCAUGGUGUUAAUGCACCAUUAUUGACCAAAAAUUCUAAGAAGAAAAGUGAAGAUAGUUUUGCCAAAUUUUAGGUUAUUUGACUUGAGUUUGGUGAAUUAAGAUAUUGGAAAAGAAAUGGAGCAAUUUGGAGCUAAAUUGGACGCGUUGGCCAAUUAAUCGG